ACUUCCCAGAACUGUAAAAAAUAAAUUUCUGUGGUCUAUAAACCACUCAGUCUAUGGUAUUUUGGUAUAACAGCCUGAAUGGAUGGAUUAAGACACCAGUUUAAAUCAUUUUUUUCCACUAAAAACUAAAACAGUUAAAAUAAAUGAAGAAAUUAAAUGAGAACUAUGCUUGUUUGGAAGGAGAUAGAAUCCAUACAUUUAUUCUUAAUUGCACCAUUAUUCACUGAGGAGUUGCCAUAAGCCAGGUUCUGUGCUGGGCCCUGGCAGUACAGAGAUGAAUAAAGCACAAUUCUUGCCCUUAAAAGCUCACAGACUAGCUAGAGAGACGACAGAUGAGCAGGGGACCAUAGAGUGAUAUGGUAUGUGAGAUAGGAGAGGCACGUGGGUCAGGGGGCAUGGUGACUCAGGAGAGGCAACCCAUUCCUGGGAGGGAUCAAUGAAUUGAGACUUACAAAUGAGCAGGAUUUAGGAAAGCUGAGAAAAAUAAAGUGUUGUCUGUGAUGAUACAGAGAAAGGAGACGUCAGGGUGAGGUAUGUAAUAAUGAUGAAGAUGAGGAUAAUAAGUGUUAUAUCUAGUUAACAUUUAUCGAGUGCUUAUCAUACACUCUGCCCUGGUCCAAGUUCUUUGUAUAUACAAUGUCAUUUGAUCCUCAUGGUGAUUCCAUGAGGUAGGUACCUAUUUUACUGGUAAGAAGGGGUUAGGGAAGUUGACAGAAACCACAUAGCAGGCCAAGGCUGCUGGGAUAUAAGACAAAAACAUAUGGAGUGUUGAUAGAUGAAACUCUUGAGAAUUUGUUUUGGGUUUGGAUUGUGAGAGGUUUUAAAUAUAACACAAAGAGCUCAAUUAGAGGACAGAAAGUACACUGUUAUUGCUGAGUGCCUACUAUAUUCCAGUUACAUAUCUGAUCUGAUCAAAUUUUUACAACUCCCCUAUUUGAUAAGCAUUAUUAGCCACAUUCUUACUAAAAAAACUCAGACAUAUUUUAUUUUCCUAAAUCACUCUACUAGUAGGUGGCAAAAAGUAAAAAAGGCUGGCCCCUGAACACAUUUUUUAACUGCUAUAUUAUUGUCCAUUUCCUCUUUCUGGUAAAUAUUUUUAAUCCUUUCUCCCCCUUCUGAUCAACUGAUGAAAGCUAUCAUUUCUCUCUGCAGAAACAUACAUGGAACUAUAUACAAACAAACUUUUGCUUGUAAUUUAUUUUAUUGCAUGGGAAUUUCAUUUUUUUUCAUAUGGACAGACCAUACAAACAAGUCUUACAAAAAAUUAUUUGUCUCAUUUCCUGCCCCCCUCCACAAAAUAUUACUGCUUUUUUCCUUGAAAAAGCAAUAAAUCCAAAUUUUGCAAAUGAAUGAAAAAUGUAAAUUGAAAUUCUGCUGAAAUGUAACAUUUCAGUGAGGAGCCUGCUGUUGUUUGACUUAAAAAAAGAAAUAGAAAUGUUGGAGCUGUCUUUGCAUGACAGCAUCAUUUUAGCAAUCUAAUCAUUUCAACAUUUUUUUUUUGGCAACAAGUCCCUAAAAUGUGACUCAGAAAGGUAAGUAACAAAUACCAUUAUUGUUCCCAGAACUCACUUUGCCACACAAGGUCAGAUGUGUGUCAAGGAGGCCCAGAAUCCUCUAAGACUCUUUGAGUUUAAUUUAUUUUGUAUAAUCCCCUUUGUCCUAGAGUUAAUGAGGUUGGCUCUGCAUUCUUGAUGCCAUCUGUGUCAGCAAGUCGAGGAUUAUGAAUCCAGUUCAAUCGUAAGGCUGUCUACACACUAGUAAACCUCAGAAGAACUCUGCUACAUUUCCUGGUAUCUACAGAUUUCUGCUUAUGGAGAAACAGACAAGGUUUUGUCACUAUGUACAACAGUCUACAAAAACAUUUUUUCUUGACUGGGAAAUAGGAUAAUUUUCCACCUCCUAGUUCUUCCAGAAGAGUGAAAAUGGCUGAAAUGCUAGGAACUUUUUGGCAGUGUCCGUAACGGUGAAUGCUGGGCAUAAAUUCAAACCGCUACUUUAUCCAACUUGCCAAAAAUGUCCACCAAGAAUUUCUCCCUGUCAGAUUAUUCUGAGAAAGAGCAUUUUUAAUCUGCAAAGUAAUAAUAACAAUAAUGAUAAUAAUGACUGUCUGUCAGAAGUUCCAUUAAGUGCUUUGAGACUUAUCCUCUAGAAUCUGGUAAGACUCCCCAGAUAAGGGCUUCUGAGUUCUCUUCCUGUUUCUUGGUAAGUACUAAAAAUGUGGUUCAAGGAGAGGAUAACAGGAAGUUCUCUGAGUUUGAUCGGCUGGAUCUGACACUCGAGCACACCAAUAUAGAAAGCAACCAAGGGGCAAUGUCAUCUGAUGCUUUUUUCUUCACUGCAUCCUUUAUCUUACAAUUUAGUGCUUCAGCAACAGCCAUUAAUUUGGCUCAUGAUUUUAUGCAUUGGCGGUUUGGGCUGGGCUCAGCUGGUGGUUCUUCUGGUCUGAGCUGGGCUCAGUUGAUCUCCACUGGGCUCAUGCAUGCAUUUGCAUUCCUGCUGGUGGAUUGGCAAGGGCAUGCAGAUUUGUGGUAGCUAGCCUGGUCUUGAUUGUUGACAUGUCUGAGCUCACUCUCCAUGUUGGUUUCUUAUCCUCCACGUGGUUAGCCUGGGCUUGUUCACAUGGUGACUGGCUUCCGUGAAUUGCCAGAGAGCAAGCCUGUGAGAAGAAGACCAAGCACUUUUCAAGUAUUUGUUUUUGUUCCUUUGCUCCUGUCCUACUAGUCAAAGCAAGGUACUAGUCAGCCCAUAUUCAAGGCAUGGACCCAAGCUCUAGUCAGCCCACAUUCAAGGCAUGGACCCAAGCUCCAAUUAUUGGUGAGAAACGCUAUCUUGUGAGGCUGUGGGUAUGGGAAGGAGAUGAAUCUGUGGCUAUUUUUCUAAUCUACCAUAUUUGCAAAACACAAAAACCUUUUAAGAGUUAAGGGGCCAAUAUAUUAUACCUUUCUCCCACUUUUGAGUUUAGAACCAGUUGAGAGAAGUACAUAGGGGUCAAAUGGGGCAGAUCAAAUACCAGCUUAAUUAUUGGUGAAGUUAGAAUGGGAACCCAUUUUGUAUCUGUAGUCUGAACAGACUUUCUAUAAUCCUCUCUCUCCUAGAAUGAAAGUAGCCAUCUGGAAUUUAAGCUGUCCCCCUGCAGGAGCUUAAAAAUGUGUGUGUGUUUUGAGUAGGUGGAUGCCAGAGAGAGAGAGAAAAAAAACAACACAAGGAAGAGGGCCAGGUAGAGAUUCUUUUCCUCUGCUCUGUAGGGAAAAAUUAUAUCACUGAAUGCUAGAUACUUCCUUUUCCAUCAUGGGAAUAAAGAAAAAAGUGGAAAGAGAGGGAAAAUGUUACUAUUUAUAAGCCUAGGUGGGAAUGCUAUGAGAGGGAGAAAAAUGGUCCCCUUUAUCCCAGAUGUGUUCCCAAGCAAUGAAGGUAUUUAUGUUUGUGUGUGUGCCCUGAGUGUCGUUUUUUCCCUCUAGGUCAUGGCAAUGAAACCAUUUAUCACUGUGAACAUGUGGAUGGUAACAGAAGAUUCCAAAUGGGAUUUGCAAAAUAGGACUUCUUCAUUGACAGUGGAUGGGAAUCAGAUGGGCAUAGGGCAUCUGGUCCAUGAUCAUCCUUUGUUCGUGCUGAUCUCCGGUGAAAUAUCUGAAGAAGAAGGAGAACACCAUGUGAAGCUGCAGGCAGAUUGGAGUGACACGCCUACAAGCUGAGGGACCCCAAAGACUGCUAGCAACCACCAGAAGCUGGGAGAGGCAUGGAACAGAUGACCACAAGAGCCUCCAGAAGGAACCAACCAUGCCG